rnacentral:rRNA from 1 species
GGAAUGAUGGGAAUUUAAACCUCUUCCAGAGUAUCAAUUGGAGGGCAAGUCUGGUGCCAGCAGCCGCGGUAAUUCCAGCUCCAAUAGCGUAUAUUAAAAUUGUUGCAGUUAAAAAGCUCGUAGUUGAAUUUCUGCUGCAUCGUCGCAUCUCUUGCUGAGUGCUUCGUUUCGGCUUAUUUCGGAUUGAUUUUUUCUUUCCGGAUGAUUACUUUGAGAAAAUUAGAGUGCUCAAAGCAGGCUUUUGCCUUGAAUAGUUUAGCAUGGAAUAAUAAAGUAGGACUUUGGUUCUAUUUUGUUGGUUUUAGGUACCAAAGUAAUGGUUAAUAGGAACAGUUGGGGGCAUUCGUAUUUAACUGUCAGAGGUGAAAUUCUUAGAUUUGUUAAAGACGAACUACUGCGAAAGCAUUUGCCAAGGAUGUUUUCAUUAAUCAAGAACGAAAGUUAGGGGAUCGAAGACGAUCAGAUACCGUCGUAGUCCUA